GUGGGGAAUUUUGGACAAUGGGCGAAAGCCUGAUCCAGCCAUGCCGCGUGCAGGAUGAAGGCCUUCGGGUUGUAAACUGCUUUUGUACGGAACGAAAAGACUCUGGUUAAUACCUGGGGUCCAUGACGGUACCGUAAGAAUAAGCACCGGCUAACUACGUACCAGCAGCCGCGGUAAUACGUAGGGUGCAAGCGUUAAUCGGAAUUACUGGGCGUAAAGCGUGCGCAGGCGGUUAUAUAAGACAGAUGUGAAAUCCCCGGGCUCAACCUGGGAACUGCAUUUGUGACUGUAUAGCUAGAGUACGGCAGAGGGGGAUGGAAUUCCGCGUGUAGCAGUGAAAUGCGUAGAUAUGCGGAGGAACACCGAUGGCGAAGGCAAUCCCCUGGGCCUGUACUGACGCUCAUGCACGAAAGCGUGGGGAGCAAACAGGAUUAGAAACCCGGGUAGUCC
rnacentral:rRNA from 1 species